GAAAAAAAAAAAAAAAAACUAAAGAUUGAAAGAAUCCACAUCUAAAAGGUAUUUUGGAUCAACAAUUUACUUGGAGAGAGUAAUAAGAAGGAACAACUUCAAUUAACAAUGGGAUAUUUCUAAACAAUUAAUUAAAAAAAAAAAAACUCUUUGGACAACUUUCUACAGUAGCUAAAAUUAAACAAAGAUCCAAAACCCAUUCAACUACAGAAUUUUAGGUAUCUAUUUGCGAGGAUUAAAGGCAAUAAACCCAUUUUCAAUUCACGUGAACAAACGACCAUUAAAAAAAAAAAAUUUAAACAAAGUUUAGAAAAAAGAAAGAAUCAAUUGCACUAUACAUCUCACAUUGCCCAUAUCAUAAAAGGAUAAAAUGAAUAAAAAGCGAGAUGACUGACAAUGGAUCGAAAGCUAAAACUUCGAGUAGAUCUGUGGUGUUGGGUUUGUAGAUCUGCAAACUAAACAUCUCCUUAGAAGGGAGGCUAUAAAACUUCGAGCAGAUGUUACUUCUAUAGCAUCAAUUUUGAAACGGCAUAGGAUUGUGAUGGAUAAACAGAUCUGGAUGAAGACUUAUUUGCCCAUACUCAUCACAAUACCCAGACUUAAUUACUUAUUAGACUUGGGACGGGUUGACAAGGCGAUGAGGCGAUGUGUGACUGCAAUUGCGAGGUGAUGUGCGACUGCAAGUGCAACGCGAUGAGAUAGAAAUCAUACUCUGAAUAGCUGUGUUUAGGGGCAGUGUUAGAAAGAGAGAGAGAAUAGAGAGAUAGAGAGGAUAUGAUAAUGGAGAGAAAGAAAGGAUAGAGAGAUAAAAGAGAGAUUAAAAAAAUGUUGUUUUAUUGUUAAAAUGCCACCUGGUAUGAGAAACAUUUUUUAAAUAGUUUUUAUUACACUUAGUUAUGUCCACAUCAGCAAUCGGUCAGAGUACCCAUCGGAAAACGGCUUGAGGGACUUUAUGUUGUAUUAAAUUGAAGUUUAAGUAUUUUUGUGAUACAAAU
rnacentral:misc_RNA from 1 species